ensembl:lncRNA
GAAAAUCAACUAGUAGGAGAGAGAUGAUAAAAACUUCCUUCUGUUUGCUGAUUCUCCUUCCAUGAUUCUUCAUUUUAGCUCCUCCAUCUGACAGACCUAGUGCUGAAUUAUCAUUAUCAAGUGCCAUUGAGUCAAUUCUGACUUACUAAAAACCUUUUCAGGAUUUUCUAGGUAGAAAAUACUCAAAAGUGGUUGACCGUUCCCUUCUUUUGAGGGCGCCCUGGGACUGUGCAGCUGGCUCAAGGCCACACCGGUUGACUUUUUUUGCAGGAGGGGCACACCUCUGGGUCAGACUAUAAGUGAUGCUAAUUCAGCAGUUUAAAAUUCAUCUUCUUUAAAAGGUAAAGAAGGUUUGAUUAUCCUAGCAGGAGUUUGCUGGCAUCUUUAUUGUGCGGUCUUUAUUUCGAAGCUGACUGGAGAAAAUUACAAAACACUAGGUGGUGGGAGGGGAUGCUGAGGGGACGCUCUCUUUAUCAAGAGAGGAAAGUGUUAAACUACUACUCUAGUUGUGCUAAAAUUCAGUUCCUCAUCUUAUUUCAGCUUGAUAAUCAGUCCCCUAAGAAAACAAAGUGCAAGAAAAAAGUGAAGUUCAAAAGCAUGUUGGAAAACACUUCUACCUCCACUGUUUUACCAAACUCAUCUGGAAAAAGCAAGCCAAAUGCAGCUUGUGGGAUUACAGUUGAAAUGUUAGUUUCUGAACAGCCAGGUGCCAACAUGGAAAUCAGUUCCAGAGCAGUGAACCCAGGAAAGAAUGAAGCAUUGCUAACAAGUACAGCAUUUCUGCAGCCGGAAGAUUUAGAGCUGGAUUUGUCAUCGGUGCACAAAGUCUCUCUCAGUGAAGAUGUCUUGCCAAACUCCUGCAGUUUGUUUGUCAAUUCAGAAGAAAUUGUUCCUUCAUCCCUGUCUCCAGAAAGACACAUCCAGCAGGUUAUUUAUCUUCUUAUUUAUAUGUGUCUUUGUUGCAGUACUGACCUAAAUAAAAGUAUCUUGGAAUUGCUCUCAAUUAAAUAAUAAAAUCAGAAUAUAUUAGAAUCACAAAUUAUUUCAAAACUCAACUUUUCCUAUCUUCAACACAUGAAGACGGAUGUAAUAAUAGAAGAAACACUGCAGUAUGUUCCUUUUUUCACUUUUUACAUUGGGUUUUCUUCUGACUUACAGCUUCUAUGAAGCUUGUACAUUCUGUGUUAGCUGUAAUCAGUCUUACUGUUUUAUCUGCUGCAGGAGCUGUAACCUGUAUAUAUAAAAUAUAAUUAUCUUCCCCUUUGUUUAUAAAAUAGUGGCGAAGCUGCUCCAGAGCUUGGUAGGGAGGUGUCUUGGUGUCAUGAGGAAUGCUAGCCAUCUGACACAAUUUUCACCAUCCACAGCCAGAUAUUGCUGCAUUCUUGCAGACCCAUUUGAGAGCCUGAGCUUGCUUGUACUGAGGAUAGUGACAGUGCUUCCAGAUUGACUUGCUCCUCUACAAACAUGGCCCUUUUCAGAUGUAUCUGGCUGCGGAGCCAGAGGUUGGGAGUUUGAUUCCCCACUGUGCCUCUUUGACAGGGACCAGACUCAGUGAUCCCUUCUAGCUCUGCAUUUCUAAGAUGAUUAAGCUGAAAUGAACCUGAGCAGUCUUUGGACAAUCUUUGCUUCUUUUCCCCCUUGAACUACCUUGAGGAAGAGAUGGGUUAGUUGAAAGGCCAAAGCCAAAGCUUUCAGAUCCGGGAGAAGGACAAGCCAAAUUCAACUGAAACAUGUGGUUGAAGAGGUUGCAAGGCCUACCACCUGUGUGGCCCUAAAGGUACAGCAUGAUCACAGAGUCCUACCAGAAGGAAAGACAAGUAAACCACUUCUGAGCACUUUAAACCUAGUAAACCUUAGGAACAUUGCCAUAAGUCAAAAUUGUCUUUACUGCACAUAGUUAUAGCUAAAGCUUCCAAAGUUCCUCCUUAGAGAUGUUAAACUAAUGGAGGAGGAGUAGAGAGCAAUACUGUGUAGAUGAGGUAAAGUGAGCCAGUGUGGUGUAAUGGCUAGA